UACGUAAGCAAGCUCUUCGCCCUUUGCCUCACCUACCUCUACCUGCCCGAUUUUGUCUCUCCAUGUGAGUGUGAGGACGAAGUGCGUGACCGCACACUCUGUUUUGACUCAUGUGUUGUGUGUGAUGAUUGAUGAUGAUUUAGUUGACGUCUGGGGAAGGGGACGGGCACGACGAGAUCGACAUCGAGUUCAUGGGCAACCUGAGCGGCGACCCGUACGUGAUGAACACCAACGUGUGGGCCAGCGGCGACGGCAAGAAGGAGCACCAGUUCUACCUCUGGUUCGACCCCACCGCCGACUUCCACACCUACAAGAUCGUCUGGAACCCCAAGAACAUCAUGUAUGUAUCCCAAAUUGCUCCUGAAAUUCCUGAUUUGAUUGUUGCAUCCUAACUAACGAAAUGGGUGCUGUGGAUUGAAUCAGAUUCCAGGUGGACGACGUGCCGGUGAGGACGUUCAAGAAGUACGACGACCUGCCGUACCCGAGCAGCAAGCCGAUGACGGUGCACUCGACUUUGUGGGACGGCAGCUACUGGGCCACGCGCCACGGCGACGUCAAGAUCGACUGGAGCCAGGCGCCCUUCGUCGUCAACUACCGGGAAUACUACGCCAACGCCUGCGCCAGCAACGGCGCCUGCCCCGCCGGCAGCGACGCCUGGAUGAGCAAGCAGCUCGACGCCAAGCAGCUCGGCACCGUCGCCUGGGCCGAGCGCAACUACAUGUCCUACGACUACUGCGACGACGGGUGGCGGUUCCCCAACGGAUUCCCCGCCGAGUGCUUCCGCAAGUGAUCCGUAUAUCCAUCCAUCGUUGGAUUGAUCCAUUUAUUCCCUUCUUUUACUGAUGAAAAGUUGCUCUUCUUCUCCAUUCGAUUCGACGGACAUUCGUUCGUUGCCGAGGUUUACCUGCGUUCUGAUGCUCCCAAUUUCCAUGUACAUGUUGCCAUGGGUUAUUUUCUUCAUUUCAUUGUCACAGUCGGAGUUUUACAGAGGGAAAUUGAGGUGAGUUAUUUGUGGGUUUAUGUUGGAGAGAGUGAGGGAUGCACAUGUUGUGGUUAUUUAUAAAUAAACCAUGAAUGAAUUAUACUACUACUUAUAUACAGUAAAUAUGAAUCCUUGUUCAUCUCCCUUGGGAGAGAUAUCGUUUUGGAUGGAUUCCCUGUAGAUGUUAUCUUGAGAGCUGUCGUCUUCGCUAGAUUCUGGAGUUGAAAAUUGUCAGUGUGUGCUUGGAAGCAGACAAGUGACACGGCUUGCUGCGUGCCUCGCUGUUGGAGUGUCAGGUCGUACACAUUGAACGCCGUAGUUUAGUCAGCUCUUCCAUGUUCAAGAUGGCAGUUGGCACGUUAGUUGCCCGUCUACUUUCUGUUCUGUGUCGGUAAAAUUCGUACGGUUGUUUAGCCUGGCAAUGGGGAGGCGAUUUGGAUGACCUCAGGGGCGGUGCAGAGUGGGGUCGGGUAGCUCUUGGCCGGCUAAAUUUGAAUGGAAAUGCAACAUGGUAAAAGAGAGAGAAAAGGUGGAGUUGAAGUUCAAAACCAAAGAGAGAGAGAGAAAAAGAGGGGAAUAGAAUUCCUCACAAAAAAAGAAAGAAGGUAAAGUAAAACCGAUGGACAUACUAGACCACCUGUCUUAUCUUAAGUAGGAGUAGAAGGGAAUUUUUGAGGAUUAACUUUAAUGUGUAGGAUUUGUUUUCUACAAAGAACAAUUAGAUGGUCGGUGCUUUAUCUCUAUCAUAUAUCGCUUCAAAAAAUGUUGUUCUUGCCCCUAAAAAGGAAUGUUUUUUCUCCAGUACUCAUGUGUUUUUACUUCCCAUGAUAAACCUUGGUUUCUCAAAUUGCUAUGUCUAAAAUUGGGAACGGUCAUUGCUCACUCCGUUUAGAAAAUAGUUAUUUCUUUAAACGGUGACAGCCUUGUGAUUAAGAUACUCUUACCCUCUUGGGCUCGUAUCAGUUUUGAUGUGCAGAUACAGUGAUUUCUGUCAGUGACUUAGUUAUUUCUUGUCCAUUCGAGAAUUAACAAACCACUAUAUAUGAUUAGUUAAGAAUCCAGAGUAUAUACAUCUCAAUAUUGUGUUUUUCGUGUUCCAAAGCGCUCGCUCUAAGUCUCGCAUUCGAGCUGAGAGAGGCACCAUCAGAAAGAUUAAAAGAACUCAGGACAAAACAAUUGUGAAAACUAAAACUAGUUCUCUUUUCUUUAGUGACAGAGGGUCGACAAUGACAAUGAUUGGCAGAGAUUUCAAGCAUUUGUGUGCUAAAGUGGCUAUGACUUGAGUCAGUGGAGGAGAGAAUAAUGCUUAUCUUUCAGCUCAACCUCCAUAAUGGCAUAUCAAGAUGGCCUUGGAGUCCAGGAGAAAGCUACAAUUGGGGCCAUUGCUGCACUGGAUGCUGCAUGAAUGGCAUAAAGCUUGUCUACCACUUGCCUGCGAAAUGUAUAUAACGUAGUGGAAUGCGAUGCUUAAAAGAAACUGUUCUAUUGACUAGCUGUUUUAUUAUGGAUACAAUUUGAGCAAUACCGAUAUAUUACUACAGAAAUAUUUCCGCUUAAAAAAACUACAGAAAUCUUCCGCGGGACCUACUAUAUAAGGUGUCCAGCACAGUUUGGGAAGAACAAACAAUGUUUUGUCUUAGAUUUCUAAUAAAAAAUUCAUAAUCAGUAUACCUAAAAUUAGUUAUUUUACAGUUACCUUAAAAUUAUCAGAAUUGAUAUACCCAUAUGAUGUCCAAGAGUCCAAGAAACCGCUAUCUAACCGAUGAGCAUGCGACCCAAUCGUAUUCCGGCCACCCAUUCUCGGCAGCUAUUCCUUUUUGUAACGGCCAUCCAAGUAAACUUUGAGAAAAGUACCUUUAUCCCCAUGAACAUACCUGAUCAUCGUUCUCACAAACUUGUGGCAGGCCUCUGUGCUCCCCUAUGACCCGGCACCAUUUUUUUCUUUGACAUCCCACGCCUUCUUGGGGUUCUGCCCUAUAAACAAAUAUUCGGAGACCACGUGGCAAUCGUGGACUCGUGGUAAGUUUUCUUCAAAAUCUGAAUGUCAGCAAAUAUUUUGGAUCACUUUCAAAAUAUGGCAAAGAUCUCAUCCUUCUAUAUGCAAACGCCCCAUCUCUGCUCUCCGGCCGACGCCAUGGCCCAUGACCCAGGUGCCGCGGAUGCGUGACAAGCGUUACGAUAAAGCUUUGUUUCUGGGCUGGUGAAGCCUGUUUGUGAUUGUGGCCGUAAAGGCGUUUGCUCCAACGCAUGCAAGCUAAAGAGUGGUUCGUUUUAGGUCUUUGAAAACCCACCACUCGAAAGAAAAAGCCUGCUCAGCGUUUCGUAUGAAGCUGGACCAUGGGUUGUCAAGUUGCCAACUAGCAACUUUGUGGCUCUCCUAAAAAGAGUAAAAAAAUAACGGUAAUUGUAACUAACGCAAGCUUAGCCGUGUGAUAUGAACCUCCGAUGCGAACUGUGAUGAUGCAUGCCUCCCAUGCGAACUGUGAAUAAACUAGCAACUUUGUUCAUGGAAUUCCUACAUCAUAUGUAUUGUAACCCAUUCUAUGAUCCACGGUCAAGUCAAAAAAUUGAUAAUAUCCAUCAUAUGUCGUCGUUAAUACAAUGGAUCCUGGCGUUACUUCAAAAAAUUGCAUCAGCUCCAAAUCUUAACAGAAACUGACAAGAACGACAAUACUUUUGCACAACAGAUUUACUAUUGAGGCACCAUGUGGCACGGUCAAUUCAUAAGACUCUACUGUCCCUUCUUCCUUGUUUUUUCCUCCACCAAAGCUUUAUCUUCUUCCUCCUUUGCGUCACAUCUCUCUCCCCUUCUCGCUCCGCACGCCACCACUGUCGCGGGCUGCCGCUACCGUUGACUUCGCGCGCGCCACUGAUUUGGAUCUCGCCGUGUGGCACCCAUCAUGGUUCAUCUGCCGUCAUGCGCCACAUUCAGGAGCUCGUUUGCCGCCACCGGGAGGCGCCGUCCAGGGGUCUCCUCCAGGAUCUCGUUGCCAGUAAGCCCCACUCCUUUCAUCUUCUUCUUUUUUUUUCAAUUUUUUCAAAGUUGAGAAGCAAAAGUGGAAAAAACCAAAAGCCGCAAAAACCAAAAGUUUUAGAAAUGGAAAAUCUAAGAGGAUGAAAGAAAGACAAAAAUUUAAAACUUGCACCAACAAUCCCAAAAUAGGUUGUCAGAAUCAAGCACUAAAUAGCUUCAUAACUAGUGGAUAUAGAUAUGGAUUGUGGUCCAUAUAUAGUUUCUCCCUCCUUCGAGCUGCCCACACGCUCAAGUUUUUUCUGUCGCUGAAAACCAAAGCAUCUGCUCGAUAUUGUAGUCUCGUACGACCUCGAUUGAUGCUUGCUCCUGACGCCUCCUUCUAAAUCUCCAAACAGAUUUGUCCUCAAAUUAAAAACCUAGCGACUACUCAUCUGCCCCCUCAUCAGGUUGGAGGCGACCAACUGAGCGAGCUAUGCUCUCCUCCGCGCUUCGGCGCUUCCGCCGUUCCGUGACUGGGCACGUGUUAUGUUACACACAAGAACACAACGUCUCGGUCAAUCACUCGAUUAGAAAUGCAUGUAAAGUUGCAAUUUAGCCAACAAAUUGGAUAACAAUUUUAAAACAACCAGUGUCAAAAUUCUGGGCCCGACACUGUCCAGCCGUCGCUCUAACAACGGAAUGAACAAUCUGGAAAAAGGAACUAUCGAAAGUACAGUACAUUUUUUGCUUCUUCUUUUUCCAAUCCAGAGUGACACUCACACGGGAUGCAGCAGAGACAUUUUUUGCUUCUUUCUUUUUCCAAUCCGGAGUGACACUCACACGGGAUGCAGCCGCCUCGCACACCUGCUCUUUGCUUGUGGAUUCGGGCAUGUGGUUUCGGACACGCAGUCAAGCCCCCCAGGGCUGCUAGCGCACGGCACGGCACCGUCCGAUUUCCGGUGUGCAGAAACGUUCCGAACCUUCGCUCUCAGGCUCUCAGCCCCCAGACAAGGUCAUGUGCGUGCGCUGCCGACGGCCCACCGCCAGCGGCGCCGAGCAUCAACAAAGAGCCGAGCAUCAUCGGUUAAAAGGGAAGCCCCGUUGCGCACAACACUGACACCACCGCAAAGCAGAGCAGUAGUUCAUACUGUAACAGCAGAACAGAGCAAAAAACAGAGGAAGCAGAGUGAGCCAUGGCGGCGAAACAGCUGCCCCUCCUUGCCGCACUGGCCGUCCUGGCCGUGCUUGCUGCUGCGGCAGCGGCGGAGUACAACUUCGACGACCAGUUCGACGUGAUCGGCGAGCGCGACCACAUCCGGUACAAGGCGGAGGGGGAGAACCAGCAGUUCGCGCUGGAGCUGGACAAGGUGUCCGGGUCCGGCUUCAAGUCCAAGGCCAAGUACCUCUUCGGCGAGUUCAGCGUCCAGAUGCGCCUCGUCGACGGCAACUCCGCCGGCACCGUCACCUCCUUCUACGUACAUCCAUUUCCCCUCUCUCUGAACAAAAGGCAUCUUUCUGGAGGAGUUGAAUCUCGUGCUUACAACUUUUUGGUUGGAUUUUGUUUUAGCUGACGUCCGGUGAAGGCAGCACCCACGACGAGAUCGACAUCGAGUUCAUGGGGAACAAGAGCGGCGACCCCUACGUGAUGAACACCAACGUUUGGGCCAGCGGCGACGGCAAGAAGGAGCACCAGUUCUACCUCUGGUUCGACCCCUCCGCCGACUUCCACACCUACAAGAUCACCUGGAACCCCAAGAACAUCAUGUAAACCACCCAUCCUUCAACCAAAGUGAAAUUCGAUUUGUGAGGGACUAAUUCCAAAUUCGAAAUGUGAAAUUGAAACUAAAAUUGGCAGAUUCGAGGUGGACAACGUGCCGGUGCGGACGUUCAAGAAGUACGCGGACCUGCCGUACCCGACGAGCCGGCCGAUGACGGUGCACGCGACGCUGUGGGACGGCAGCUACUGGGCGACCCGGCACGGCGACGUCAAGAUCCACUGGAGGGGCGACGACCCUUUCGUCGUCUCCUACCGCGAGUACCACGCCACCGGCUGCGUCGCGCACCCCAAGGCGCCGCCGCCGCCCAGCAGCUCGAACUCCACCAAGGUUGAGGCGCCGCCCACCAAGUGCCCCGCCGGCUCCGACGCCUGGAUGGACCGGGAGCUCGACGAAGAGGACCUCAAGACCGUUGCCUGGGCCGAGCGCAACUGCCUCUCCUACAACUACUGCGCCGACGGGUGGCGCUUCCCCAAGGGGUUCCCCGGCGAGUGCGGCCGCGACUGAUGAGAUGAUAGCGCGUUUAGCUUCAGAUCGAAUCCUUUGGUUUGGUAGUGCGCCCGCCCGCAGAGAUUAAAUUGGAUUGAAUUAAUUUGGUUCUUAAUUACAGGUUGUUCUUCUUCUUGUUCAAUGUUCAUUCGAUUGAUUGAGCCCGUGGACAUAUAAACAUAUUACUCCGUGUGUGAAAUUUCCCGUGUACAUUUUUGCCACCGUCGUUGUUCCUGAAACCACCUUGCUGUUUGUUUCAAGCCUGAGCAUGAGAGCGUAGCUGCUGUGUCAAGGAUGUAAUUAAACCUGUCACGGAUGAAAAUAUAGUUAAUUAAUCUUUUCUUA
rnacentral:lncRNA from 1 species